UUAUUUAUGACUGUAGGUUCAGUUUCUGGGAGAGUAUCUGUACUUUUCUUGUCAUCGUCAGAACCAUCAUCAUCAGAUCCAUCAUUAUCAGAUCCUUCAUCAUCUGGUUCCUCAUCAUCUUGACUGCCCUUCAAUCAAAGGGCCAAUUUUACAUUCAACUAUACAGAAGUGGCCCAAGGCAAGUGUAUGAGCCCAGUGGGAAUAGAUGAUAAUGAAUGCAAAUAAACAAUUAGAUUGGAGAUUUCCUACCAUGGAAGGCAUUUUAGGUAGCUUUGCUUGGGAGCAUUGUAGUGAGAAUUCCUCAUCUGAAGAGCCAGCCUUGAAGAACACAAAAACAAAUUUAAUUGCAAGUUGCUUCAAAGAUAACCAUCACAAUUUAGGUACUGUAUUGUAUUUUAGUUCUUCACAGUAGACAAAGUAGUAAAUAAAUAAUCAAAUAAAAAAUAAUAAUAAUUAUCAAACUAUGAAGCAUGUUGAACAGUGUACAUACCCUAGAAGAACUUGGUGUUCUAGGAGACCAGGAAUCUGGAGGGCUUGUUCUCUGGAGAAAAUAAAAUCACUCAUAUUCAUACCUUUCCAAAAAAUCAGAACCAAAAGGAUUCCUUUUAAAUAGCAAGGUUUAUCCAUAAACUGGCAAGAAAGUCAGAAAGAAAAAUAAUAAUUCUGAUUAUCAUGCAGUUCACAACAUUCCUCAGUGCAGUGACGUGCUUUUAUUAGGUCUUACCAUUCAAAGCAACCUAAAGUUCAGCUUGCACGUCAAAAGCAAAUUAAUUAAAGCCAACAAAUGUCUCCAUAUUCUUAGGACCCUUAGGAAAGAACAGUAUAGUCAACUAGAAAUAGACCAUUUAUUCUUCUCUCUGGUGUUGCCAUGUAUCACUUACGGCUUAUCCGUUUACGGGGCCUGCGACUCAGAUCUAACGACUAUUCAGACAUUCUUAGAUAGGUGUCAUAAACGUCGGUUCGUAUCAACACCUGUUAGCAUAGAAAAAUACUCGCCAAGCAAGACUGUAAGCUGUAUGAAAAAGCUGCAGCCAUUCCGAACCACCCUUUACGUUGCUACUUACCCGCUAUUAAAGAAACCAAAUACAAUCUUCGUGGUACGCGCUAUAUUACACCAAAUGUAAAAACUGAACGCUUUAAGAACACUUAUAUCAACAGAAUUGCUUUCAAAUAUCUUAUGUAACUUAGUAGCUAGUUUUUAAUUUUUCAGCAUUAUUUGUAACAUAGGAGAUGUAUUUUUAUCCUUUGAUAAUAAAGAUUAUUAUUAUUAUUAA